AUUACUUUGGCAGAAUAGUGUAAUGAAUUUAGAAUUCAUAAAUGUAUAUUUUAAUAUACAAGUAAUA
rnacentral:tRNA from 1 species